AAUGCGCCGUUAUAAUAAUUAUUAUGCUCUAAGGUAUGCUCAUCACUCACCGAUCGUAGGUCAGAAAAUCAAUACAUCGACCAUGUCGUGACACAGCGACUACGAUCGCUACCAACCGCGUCGGCCGACGGUCGCCAGUCGUAAGUCGUAGACUACUCGCAUUACGCCGACAGCUGCUGCUGCACCAGGUAAAAUCUUUUGGAUGUCGAUCGAUUGUUGUGCCGGAUUCAAUUCGAUUACCGUUAUGUUUUUAUUGUUGUGACGGUGAUGACGGGUGUUAUGUGGCCCUCAUAAUGGGGCCUAGGCGAGAUCAUUGGUCAACAUUGGUUCAUCGCUGCACGAUCGCCACAGUCGUCGUCAGUAGGCUGCAGCACCAAACCACGUUCCAGGUCCGUUCCGAGAUGUCGUUGUCUCUUCAGCAGCGUCACGCCCAGAGUGCUGCAGGUAUUGGGAUGCAAUCCCAGUUUCAUGACGCUGCAGGAUACGAAACUCAUGUGGUUGGCGCACGUCAACGAACGUCAAGUUUGAAAGUUCAAUCUCAAAAUUGGCAAAAAAACGCGAUUACUACUUUCCAUUACAUUUUGUAGAGGAUAAACAAAAGUUUGAAGUUGAAGGGCUACAUUAAUAAUUCAUCAUACACCUGUACAUACAACUAUAUCAUAUAGUUAUAUUUUUGGAAGAAGAUAAUGCAUUGUUCUCUGCUGAUUGUGUACUUGGAGAGGGAACUACUGUAUUUGAAGAUCUAACAGAAUAUUUAAAAUCAUUACAAUUGAUUUUAGACUUAAUCCUACUGUUAUAUUUCCCGGUUACGGCUCUGUAAUAAAAACGUAUUUUAAUUGAUACCGGAGAGCCAAAUGUAAGAGCCAUAAUAUAUAAAAAAUCUUCAGGAAAAGAUGAUAAAGUAUAAUUUUCAACUUGAUUAUAUUAUAAUAUCACAUUGGAUCUUGGAUCACAUUGACGGGGUAAAAAAUGUGUAGGAUAUGAUCGCCAAUAAAAAUGAACGUCAAGUUUGAAAGUUCAAUCCCAAAAUUGGCAAAAAAACGCGAUUACUACUUUCCAUUACAUUUUGUAGAGGAUAAACAAAAGUUUGAAGUUGAAGGGCUACAUUAAUAAUUCAUCAUACACCUGUACAUACAACCAUAUCAUAUAGUUAUAUUUUUGGAAGAAGAUAAUGCAUUGUUCUCUGCUGAUUGUGUACUUGGAGAGGGAACUACUGUAUUUGAAGAUCUAACAGAAUAUUUAAAAUCAUUACAAUUGAUUUUAGACUUAAUACUACUGUUAUAUUUCCCGGUUACGGCUCUGUAAUAAAAGAUCCAAUUGUUCGAGUAAAUAAUUAUAUUAAGCAUAGAUUAGAAAGAAACGUGGAAUUGUAUAACUUGAUUAAUAAAAGUCUAUCAGGAUUUUUGUCUGAAGAAGGAAUUGUAAAUGUAAUGUAUAAGGCAA